GACGUAGGGCGCGAGCGUUGUCCGGAUUUAUUGGGCGUAAAGAGCUCGUAGGCGGCUUGUCGCGUCGUUCGUGAAAACCUGCAGCUCAACUGCAGGCUUGCGGUCGAUACGGGCAGGCUAGAGUUCGGUAGGGGAGACUGGAAUUCCUGGUGUAGCGGUGAAAUGCGCAGAUAUCAGGAGGAACACCGGUGGCGAAGGCGGGUCUCUGGCACGCAUCUGGACGCUGAGACGACGAAAGCCAGGGGAGCGAACGGG
rnacentral:rRNA from 1 species